rnacentral:lncRNA from 1 species
GAAUUUUAAAUUUGAACUUUGGUGGAUAGUUGUUUCAUUGGCAAUCAUACCACAUCUGCUUAUUUUCAUAUCGUAUGGUUAACAUAGAAAUAUGACUAAUCUGACAGAUGAUCCCUUGAUUAUACAGGGUGUUCAAACAGCUGGAUGUAUACAUACGAAGCCUCGUAGGGUAAAAAGGGGGAAUUUUGCCUAUACAUGCACCAAGCAUAAUUGUCCAUUCAUUUUCUUAUGGCAGUCCAUAUAUCUAGCUCCUCUUACUUUGCAUAACUUUCAUAAUUGAUACUUAUCUGCAUGUUCUCAUCCGUAUUAUGCUUGAAAUAUUUGCCAGUGAUCAUUCAGUAUGCACAAAUUAAAUUUUCAUUAUGUGCAAUCAUAUAAAAAAACGUAAUUUCUGGGACUUUUAUUUGUUUGACUAUGUGGUAUAUCAGUUUAUAGUAAUUGUUGAAGUCCGUACGGGGACAUAAUUGUUAUCUUCUAUGUAAAUUGGUCUCUGGUGAAGAGUUGCCUCAUAAACAAU